rnacentral:rRNA from 1 species
GAUGAGCGCUGGCGGCGUGCCUAAUACAUGCAAGUCGAGCGAACAGACGAGGAGCUUGCUCCUUCGACGUUAGCGGCGGACGGGUGAGUAACACGUAGGUAACCUACCUAUAAGACUGGGAUAACUUCGGGAAACCGGAGCUAAUACCGGAUAAUAUUUCGAACCGCAUGGUUCGAUAGUGAAAGAUGGCUUUGCUAUCACUUAUAGAUGGACCUGCGCCGUAUUAGCUAGUUGGUAAGGUAACGGCUUACCAAGGCAACGAUACGUAGCCGACCUGAGAGGGUGAUCGGCCACACUGGAACUGAGACACGGUCCAGACUCCUACGGGAGGCAGCAGUAGGGAAUCUUCCGCAAAGGGCGAAAGCCUGACGGAGCAACGCCGCGUGAGUGAUGAAGGUCUUCGGAUCGUAAAACUCUGUUAUUAGGGAAGAACAAACGUGUAAGUAACUGUGCACGUCUUGACGGUACCUAAUCAGAAAGCCACGGCUAACUACGUG